CAGGCAGGUAUGCACCUGGCCACGACAGCAUACAGAGGAGACUUGGACAUGUGAAAAUGGAGAGUGGACGUCAACAUGAAAUUAAACAAGAUCAAGAGUAAAAGAACUCCUGUGGAUGGAGUCUGGAGACAGAGCUUCCGGCUGAGGCCUCACAGCCCAGACAACCUCUGACUGUCCAGCAGCUGCAAAACGAUGGCGCCCACCAUGGGCACAGAGGAGCCAGGAGACAAACGCGGCCUCCUGAGUUCCCAGGGAAGAG
rnacentral:lncRNA from 1 species